GAGUUUGAUCGUGGCUCAGAGUGAACGCUGGCGGUAGGCCUAACACAUGCAAGUCGAACGGUAACAGGUCUUUCGGGAUGCUGACGAGUGGCGGACGGGUGAGGAAUACAUCGGAAUCUGCUCAGUCGUGGGGGAUAGCGCAUGGAAACGUGCGCUAAUACCGCAUACGACCUUCGGGUGAAAGCAGGGGAAUCUUUAGGGAUCCUUGCGCGAUUGAAUGAGCCGAUGUCGGAUUAGCUAGUUGGUAGGGUAAAAGCCUACCAAGGCGACGAUCCGUAGCUGGUCUGAGAGGAUGAUCAGCCACACUGGGACUGAGACACGGCCCAGACUCCUGCGGGAGGCAGCAGUGGGGAAUAUUGGACAAUGGGGGCAACCCUGAUCCAGCCAUACCGCGUGGGUGAAGAAGGCCUUCUGGGUUGUAAAGCCCUUUUGUUGGGGAAGAAAAACAACGGGUUAAUACCCCGUUGGUAUGACGGUACCCAAAGAAUAAGCACCGGCUAACUUCGUGCCAGCAGCCGCGGUAAUACGAAGGGUGCAAGCGUUACUCGGAAUUACUGGGCGUAAAGGGUGCGUAGGUGGUUGCGCCAGUCUGUCGUGAAAGCCCAGGGCUUAACCUGGGAAUGGCGAUGGAAACUGUGCAACUAGAGUGUGACAGAGGGUGAUGGAAUUCCUGGUGUAGCAGUGAAAUGCGUAGAGAUCAGGAGGAACAUUCGUGGCGAAGGCGGCCACCUGGGUCAACACUGACACUGAGGCACGAAAGCGUGGGGAGCAAACAGGAUCAGAUACCCUGGUAGUCCACGCCCUAAACGAUGCGAACUGGAUGUUGGGUCCAACUUGGGAUUCAGUAUCGAAGCUAACGCGUUAAGUUCGCCGCCUGGGGAGUACGGUCGCAAGACUGAAACUCAAAGGAAUUGACGGGGGCCCGCACAAGCGGUGGAGUAUGUGGUUUAAUUCGAUGCAACGCGCAGAAC
rnacentral:rRNA from 1 species